GUACUCGCUUCAGCAACACAUAUACUAAAAUGGGAAUGAUACAGAGAAGAUGAGCAUGGCCCCUGCACAAGGAUGACAUGCAAAUUCAUGAAGCAUUCCAUAUUUUU
rnacentral:snRNA from 1 species